UAGGGAUCAUAUGUUAGUAUAUCGACACCCUGCCAAUGGGAGUUAUGUGCUGGUUCAUCAAUAUUCUGUCAGUGGGGGUUAUAUGCUAGUAUAUCAAUACCCUGUCAAUAGAGAUUGUGCGUUGGUAUAUGAUAUCCUGUCAGUGGGAGUUAUGUGCUAGUAUAGAUAUUCUGUCAGUAGAAAUUAUAUGCUAGUAUAUCGACAUUCUGUUA
rnacentral:lncRNA from 1 species